CCAUAGAUCUAACUCUACAGCUCAGACAAACAAACAGACAGACAGACAGACAGACAGACAGCAUGAUCAGAGUUCUCCUCACGGCUACUGUUUCACUCCUCUGGCUCACAGGUUCCUGUGUGUCCCUCUCCGUCCACCAAUCUCCUCGUCAUCUCACCAAGAAGCCAGGAAACACCAUAAAGAUGACCUGCAGUCACCAUGACAAAAAAUAUGAUAAGAUCUACUGGUACCGUCAGACACAUGGACAACAGCUCCAGCUCAUCGGCUUCCUGUCCUUUAAACAAGCUUCUGAUGUUGCGGAAAACUUUAACAUCUCAGGCGACGCAGAGGAUGAGGGUUUUCUGGGGUCGCUUGCAGUGAGGGUUGAAGACACUGGGCUAUAUUAUUGUGCUGUGAGUAAAGCACAGUGA